rnacentral:rRNA from 1 species
GACGAACGCUGGCGGCGUGCUUAACACAUGCAAGUCGAACGGAAAGGCCUGCUUUCCCUUGUGGAUUGCGGGUACUCGAGUGGCGAACGGGUGAGUAACACGUGAGUGAUCUGCCCCCAACUUGGGUAUAAGCCUGGGAAACUGGGUCUAAUUCCCGAUAGGACUGCAGGGUGGUGCCUGUGGUGGAAAACGAUUUUCUAGUGGUUGGGGAUGAGCUCGCGGCCUAUCAGCUUGUUGGUGGGGUAAUGGCCUACCAAGGCGGCGACGGGUAGCCGGCCUGAGAGGGUGGACGGCCACAUUGGGACUGAGAUACGGCCCAGACUCCUACGGGAGGCAGCAGUGGGGAAUAUUGCACAAGGGGCGGAAGCCUGAUGCAGCGACGCCGCGUGGGGGAUGACGGCCUUCGGGUUGUAAACUCCUUUCGACCGCGAGGAAGCCACCUGGUUGGAAGGGUGGUGACGGUAGUGGUAGAAGAAGCACCGGCUAACUACGUG